AAUUAUCCCCAAAUCAAUAUUUCCGCCGGCACUUGGAACAUCUCCCCCGUAUUCAUUUCAGAAAGGGUAUGGAAGUUUCUCCAUUGCUAUCCAUGAAGGCAGAUACGAAUAUAAAACCAUAGAAGAAAUUUGAACUGAAGAGAAACUCAUGUUGAUUAAUAUCCGAUGUAGAACUUAGAGAAUGAAGAAACGAAACAUUGGGGGUUGAAAACGGGAAAAAUUUCGGUAAGAAAUUCUCUAAAUCCUUGUUAAUCUCAAUUUUUUUAACCGGACAUAUAUUAGUUGGAAGAUAAUUUUACCUGAUUAUUUUUGGCAAUGUUGUCUUUGAAGAUGUUAGUGAAAACCGAAGUGGUAGUAAGGAAUAACUUGAAAUACUUUAAGACUGGACACACAAUCAGAUACCUUUCAAUCUGCUUGAAAUUUUGAAUUUCAUACUGUGUGAGUAUUUGUUUGAAUCAGGUUCCUUCCAAAUUAGAUUGAUGUGGUAAUUGUACAGAUAUAAGAUUACGAUUUCACUUAAAAAUUUCAGAUUUUGGGUGUAUAAGAAUGCAAUGUAUGGAGGAAAAAUCUUGAAAUGGAUUAAUAACAAUUUGUCCUAUUAUGCUUUUUUAAAAUACAAAGUGAUAUUGAUGGAAAUGCCCCUGCACUGUUUGCAGGAACCAUUUCUGUUAUCUUAUUAUACCACAGGUUGAAACAGACACAUGCAUUUGAAUCACCACAUUGACUAUUUUGAAAAACAUUACACCAAACCUGAUAAUAUUAAUAGUUGACAUGAAAUAUGGAAAAAAUAUUGUGUUUUAGUAGAAUGUGAUUUCAAAUACAAUGCCCAUAUACAUAAUGGACAAUUAUGCCCCUGGCCAUAAACAAAUGUCGUUCCUAGUUUGAUUUCAGUUACAUCUGCCUCUGCCCUUAUUUGGUUAGAUGCAAGAGAAAGCAAUAUAUUUUACAGACUAAAAUCUGUUUACAACCAAAUAGAUUAGUUGAUAGUUCCAAGAAAUGAUGAUACUUGAGGAUGAGCAACACAAACAUAGAAAGAUAUUAGUUUAGUCUAAUUCAUUAAGCUAUGAGGAUAAAUCCACUUCUUCAGAAAUAGAGAAAAAGAAAUUUAAGAUAAAAGGACGAAAAUGACCUUUACCCAGAUUCUCUGUAUUGUACAUUUUCUUUUGGUUGUAAUACACAAAUUAUAAAAAAUAAAAUAAAAAAAUGAUGCUCCAAAUGGAAUGAACAACAUGACAUAAAUGAUUAUUUAUCAACUUUUAUACAAAUUACAAAUGCAACUGGAUAUUUAAUGCAUUUGUAACCAAAACAUUAGACAAAUCAAAAAAUGGCAGGAAGAGAAAUCACUAUAACAUUUAACAUCUUCCGUAUAUUAUGAGUCCUCCAUACGACAAUAUAAGUCAAAAUUGUUAUCUUUUAUUAUUUUUUGUUAGUGAUUCUUAAAAAUGUGAAUAAAUAAUAAGGAACUUCAAAAUUUUCAUUGAGCAAAAAAUCUGGUGUGCCUUAGAUUAAUCAUAAUCUGGUCUAAAUAUUCUUUUGGGAUGAUUACUACGGGCAAGAUAUGAGAAUUAGAUUUAUCAUUUACAUAAUUGUAAUCUACAUCAUCUAGAAUUUAUGAUGAUUUAGGCAUUUAGGGUUAUGCAUAUAUGACGAAUUCAAUGUGAAGGCAAAAUUGUCAUACUUUUUUUAAUAUGUUAAAAUUAGGCCAUUUCAACAGAGAUUUACUUAACCAACCUCGUUUAAUGCCUUUUCUUGUAGCUAUUUAACUGAAAAAAAAAUACAAAAUUAUAUAAAUUUGAUGAAAAGUAUAAAUAUGAUACAAAUUACCUUAUGUAGGUUUUUUUGGUGAAUGAAAACGCAGACAGAUGAACAGAAACACACAUAAAAGAGAUCGACCACAACACACGCUCAUACACAAUAAGUGUUAAAGUAAAGUGCUUUAAAUCGGAUGACUUUAAAUGUAAGGUGCUACAAAAUAGAGUUGUUCGUUUUAUUUUCAGAAAAAAAAAAAAAAAAACAAUUGAUUCUGAACAGGAACAUAAAUCCAUAAUCACACAUAACAAGCGAGACACAUAUAGCGUAUACAAAUACAUAUAGGAUAACAGGAGGAGAAGAACUGUAAGAGAAGAACAAUACUUAGUGUAACAGAAGAAGAAGUAUAAAGGAGAACGAUUUACCAGGGUUGCAGAGAAGAAGCGUACAGAGGAACCAAAAUUUGAAAGAUGCAACGGUCAGAAAGCUUUUUAGAUCUUGGAUUUAUAUAAAUGAUAAUAUAUGAAACAUUAUUUCAUUCCUAUUAUAAUGGAGAUAUAAUGGGUAAAAGAUAUAGAAUUUCAAAACGAUUGGUAUAUUAUGGUAACCGAGUUGCUAAUUAGUAGGAGUUGAUAAUUCUAUUGUUUAUGACUUUAAAUUAAAUUGAUUUUAUUGUGAUUGUAUUUU
rnacentral:lncRNA from 1 species